GUGUCAGCAGCCGCGGUAAUACGUAGGUGGCAAGCGUUAUCCGGAAUUAUUGGGCGUAAAGCGAGCGCAGGCGGAUUGAUAAGUCUGAUGUGAAAGCCUUCGGCUCAACCGAAGAACUGCAUCAGAAACUGUCAAUCUUGAGUGCAGAAGAGGAGAGUGGAACUCCAUGUGUAGCGGUGGAAUGCGUAGAUAUAUGGAAGAACACCAGUGGCAAAGGCGGCUCUCUGGUCUGUAACUGACGCUGAGGCUCGAAAGCAUGGGUAGCGAACAGGAUUAGAAACCCUAGUAGUCC
rnacentral:rRNA from 1 species